rnacentral:miRNA from 1 species
CGUCCUAUUUGGGACUCAUCGGCU